rnacentral:rRNA from 1 species
UACGUAGGUGGCGAGCGUUGUCCGGAAUUACUGGGUGUAAAGCGCGUGUAGGCGGCAGGCCAAGUCGGUGGUGAAAGCGCCCGGCUCAACUGGGCGAGGUCCAUGGAAACUGGUCAGCUGGAGGACGGUAGAGGCGAGUGGAAUUCCCGGUGUAGCGGUGAAAUGCGUAGGUAUCGGGAGGAACACCUGUGGCGAAAGCGGCUCACUGGACCACAACUGACGCUGAGGCGCGAAAGCUAGGGGAGCAAACAGG